CCUACGGGUGGCUGCAGUGGGGGAUAUUGCACAAUGGGGGAAACCCUGAUGCAGCGACGCCGCGUGAGUGAAGAAGUAUUUCGGUAUGUAAAGCUCUAUCAGCAGGGAAGAAAAUGACAGUACCUGACCAAGAAGCCCCGGCUAACUACGUGCCAGCAGCCGCGGUAAUACGUAGGGGGCAAGCGUUAUCCGGAUUUACUGGGUGUAAAGGGAGCGUAGACGGGUAUGUAAGUCUGGAGUGAAAGCCCGGGGCCCAACCCCGGGACUGCUUUGGAAACUGUGUGACUGGAGUACAGGAGGGGCAAGCGGAAUUCCUAGUGUAGCGGUGAAAUGCGUAGAUAUUAGGAGGAACACCAGUGGCGAAGGCGGCUUACUGGACUGUAACUGACGUUGAGGCGCGAAAGCGUGGGGAGCAAACAGGAUUAGAUACCCGAGUAGUC
rnacentral:rRNA from 1 species